rnacentral:rRNA from 1 species
GCUUAGCCGUAAACUUUGAUGCUAACAUACAACUAGCAUCCGCCAGGGGACUACAAGCGCCAGCUUAAAACCCAAAGGACUUGGCGGUGCCUCAAACCCACCUAGAGGAGCCUGUUCUUGAAUUGAUACUCCCCGUUCAACCUCACCACCCCUUGUCCAACCCGCCUAUAUACCGCCGUCGUCAGCUUACCCUGUGAAGGUCUCAUAGUAAGCAAAAUGGGCACAGCCCAGAACGUCAGGUCAAGGUGCAGCGAAUGGGGUGGGAAGAAAUGGGCUACAUUCCCUAAUAUAGGGUACUACGGAUAGCGCUGUGAAAACAGCCCUUGAAGGUGGAUUUAGCAGUAAGAAGAAAAUAGAGUGUUCUUCUGAACUCGGCUCUGAGGCGCGC